GCAGUUCAGAUGUCGAUAUAGAAUUGAAAAAGGGCUUAUUCCUGAACAUCCUGCAAGGGCAAGGCCAACUGACGAUGUUGAAGAAUGAAGACAUUUUAGCAUGGAUUACUAGUAUAGAUUAUAGUAUCUCUUGUCCUUUAUGAUGUCUUCCUGAAAGUUGUUGGUGAAUACAAAUUGAGCUGUGAUCCCUCAACGUGGCCAACAACAUGCUCCACCAAAUACCUGAGCACAAUAUAGAAAGUGCACAUACAUGCAGGGAUGGAUUUACUUGGGGGGGGGGGGUUGCACCCCCUAGCCAGAGGGGGUGCACGGGGGUGCUAUUUUUUUGAUAAAGCAAAAAAGACAAAAUAAGAUGCAAUAAUUUGAGUAAUAACAUGAUGAUAAGUGAACUGUGAACAACAAUUACAAUUCAAAUACAGCAGUUGAUGGGUGGGCGGCACACAUGACCGACACAAUUCGGCAGUCAGCACCAGAGCACCCCUCCCCCACCAGAUCAUGCUGGAUCCAUCCCUGCAUACAUGUACUGUAUCAUAUUUAAUUAAUGCUUGAGUAUAUUUGUUCAAAUUUAUUGAUAUUAAUAAAUAAUUAAAUUAUGUUUGUUAUAGUAGUGUACAUUUUGCACCAGCCACUCUUGAAAUUAGACGUCAGCCACUUUUUAACUAGAUGGCCAUGGAUGACCUAAGAAAUUGUUUUCUUUAUUAAACAGCAACUUGCAAGCUUUGUGAUAUUUCUUGAAUACCUCAAAAGUUGUCAGCUGCUGUUUACAUUAUCUACUUCACCAUGUUUGGUUUUUUAGUAUGCAUGAACACUAUUAUUAAGUUAAAGGAGGAAGCAUUUAUAAUGGCAUGCAGGUACAUUAUUUGAUACUUCUGAAGACCAUCCAGAG